rnacentral:rRNA from 1 species
GGGUGAGUAACGCGUGAGUAACCUGCCCUGGAGUGGGGGACAACAGUUGGAAACGACUGCUAAUACCGCAUAAGCCCACGGAUCCGCAUGGAUCUGCGGGAAAAGGAUUUAUUCGCUUCAGGAUGGACUCGCGUCCAAUUAGCUAGUUGGUGAGGUAACGGCCCACCAAGGCGACGAUUGGUAGCCGGACUGAGAGGUUGAACGGCCACAUUGGGACUGAGACACGGCCCAGACUCCUACGGGAGGCAGCAGUGGGGGAUAUUGCACAAUGGGGGAAACCCUGAUGCAGCGACGCCGCGUGGAGGAAGAAGGCUUUCGGAUUGUAAACUCCUGUCGUUAGGGACGAUAAUGACGGUACCUAACAAGAAAGCACCGGCUAACUACGUGCCAGCAGCCGCGGUAAAACGUAGGGUGCAAGCGUUGUCCGGAAUUACUGGGUGUAAAGGGAGCGCAGGCGGACCGGCAAGUUGGAAGUGAAAACUAUGGGCUCAACCCAUAAAUUGCUUUCAAAACUGCUGGCCUUGAGUAGUGCAGAGGUAGGUGGAAUUCCCGGUGUAGCGGUGGAAUGCGUAGAUAUCGGGAGGAACACCAGUGGCGAAGGCGACCUACUGGGCACCAACUGACGCUGAGGCUCGAAAGCAUGGGUAGCAAACAGGAUUAGAUACCCUGGUAGUCCAUGCCGUAAACGAUGAUUACUAGGUGUUGGAGGAUU